rnacentral:rRNA from 1 species
AUGCAAUCUCUAGUGGAUCUAAAAACUGACAUCUCCUGCCCUUGGACGAUUAUUGGAGAUUUCAACAUCACGCUUAGGCCGUCGGACAAAUCCUCCUCCCACUUCAACAUGAACGAAGCUAAUCUUUUCUCCUCUACUAUUAACACGAUGCAGCUUCAGGACCUCCCUCUACUCGACCGUCGCUUCACUUGGUCGAACCAGCAAGAGGUACCCAUCCUCGUGCGGUUAGAUAGGGCGCUUGCCAACGUCCCAUGGGCUACGAUUUUCCCGGACACUUCACUUUCUUCACUCACUUGUACAACCUCGGACCAUGUCCCCGUUCGCCUUUCGGCCAAAACAACUAUACCCAAAUCUACAGUUUUCCGCUUGGAUCGCUCACUCCUAAACAUACCACUAUUUAGAGAGAAGGUGGCUAUGAAUUGGACAAGCGUGUGUGCCCGUCAUCAUCACCUUGGCGCCGCCGGGGUUCUCUCCCUGAAGUUAAAACGCACUAGAAACAUGGCCAAACAGUGGCUGUCAAACCGACGUUCUCCAAAAAUUCUAGCUCUCAACUGUCAUGCUACUAUCAACUUCCUAGACAAGAUUGAGGAGGCCCGGCCUCUCGCCCACCUAGAGUCUACUCUUCGAAUUGCAGUCAAGCUAUCUCUACACCGCCACAAUGCUGACAUUGCUGCCUACUGGAGGCAACGUGCGAAAAUCAAAGACUGCGUUUUUGGCGACGAAAACUCAGCCUAUAUGCAUAUCUGUGCGUCCGCUAGACAUCGCAAAAAUCAAAUCAAGUCUCUCACUCACGAGGGA